UGGGGAAUAUUGGACAAUGGGCGCAAGCCUGAUCCAGCCAUGCCGCGUGAGUGAUGAAGGCCUUAGGGUUGUAAAGCUCUUUUGUCCGGGAAGAUAAUGACUGUACCGGAAGAAUAAGCCCCGGCUAACUUCGUGCCAGCAGCCGCGGUAAUACGAAGGGGGCUAGCGUUGCUCGGAAUCACUGGGCGUAAAGGGCGCGUAGGCGGACUUUUAAGUCGGAGGUGAAAGCCCAGGGCUCAACCCUGGAAUUGCCUUCGAUACUGGGAGUCUUGAGUUCGGAAGAGGUUGGUGGAACUGCGAGUGUAGAGGUGAAAUUCGUAGAUAUUCGCAAGAACACCGGUGGCGAAGGCGGCCAACUGGUCCGAUACUGACGCUGAGGCGCGAAAGCGUGGGGAGCAAACA
rnacentral:rRNA from 1 species